AGACUGUGAGAGCAGACACUGGGCCCAUACAUGUGUCCACCCAAGGAGACUGGGCAGCAGCUGCAGAGAGCAAAAUGACCUGACCUUCUCACAUGGAAACUUCUCCAAGACUUGGUGUCAUGGAAAAAGCAAAGUCGCUAAAAAGCACACACGCACACUUUUUUUUUUUUUUUGACACGGAGUCUUGCUCUGUCGCCCAGGCUGGAGCGCAGUGGUGCAAUCUCAGCUCACUACAACCUCCGCCUCCUGAGUUGAAGGGAUUCUUCUGCCUCAGCCUCCUGACUAGCUGGGACUACAGGCAUGCACCACCACGCCCGGCUAAUUUUUGUAUUUUUAGUAGAGAUGGGGUUUCGCCAGGCUGGUCUCGAACUUCUGACCUCAGGUGGUCCACCCACCUCUGCCUACCAAAGUGCUGGGAUUACAGGCGUGAGCCACUGCACCCAGCCACACACGCACUUUUUAAAAAGCCGCACGACACAUCUGUUUUUGUACACACAGACCCAGAAAAAGAUAACAGCUUGGCUGAUCACAGAAGCACCUCUGAGAAGGGCACAGUGCCUGGCGAUGGGCAAACAAAGGAGGGGGCAGUGACUUGCCAGAAGUCGCUCAGCAAUCACAGCCCCACACCGGAGUCUGGCUCACUCUCGACUGUACCACCCUGCCUGCCCUCUGAGGAUGCCGCAAACUUGAGGCCCUGGGAACACCCACCUAGGGGGUCAAUUCAUGCGCCUUCAGUGAAAAGCAGUGGCAACAAACAGCCUUGGAAAUCAACAAGGCAAAGUACUCACGUUGAAGAAAUUGGUCUUGUUCCUCUCGCAGAAGAGCCCCUGUGCCGGCAUGUGCUGCAGUUGUUGCCACGGGAUACUGCUGCCUAGCAACACGUCGCGGGCCCACUGGAGGUUCUGGGGAAACAAGAAGUAGGUUGAAAGUGAGUGUGUGGGCUGCUCAGGGCGCCCACAGGGAAGGCAGGCGGUCCCCUCCUUCCUGGCUGCAUGGCAAACCACGAUGAGCAGCAGUUCCUGCAGACAUCGAUUCCACAGCUCCAGGCUGCUCUGGCCAUGGGCUUUGAUCAUCAGGCUGUGGGAUGCAUUUUCAGAACUGAUCUCUGGCCCAGCACCACUGGUUUAGGAGUGUAGUCUUUGACUCCUCAAGGUGGAGACUGACAGACCCCUGGCCUGACCAACCCUACAAACCUGCCACAUGUACCCAGUACCCGCCUUCUGUCAGGGGGCCCCCACAAGCCCAAAUAGCAGCCCUGACUUAUUUGUCAGGAAUCAGUAGCGUUCCUUAUUCACGGCCAGUGGUACAGCUGCUUUAGGCUCGGAGGGCUGGACUCUGGCCACAGUGCUUAGGUCAGUGAUCUCUGGGCAAAGAGCCUCUUGGUGGAAUCCAGGCCCAGGGGAGAAUGGUGUAGGGUAAGAGGGUGAGUGUGGGCCUGGCUGCCUCUGCCUUCUCUGGGGCCUUCUCACUGGCCCAUAGAGCAGGCCUUCCCACCAGCUGCCUGGCCAGCCACUCCUCCCUCUCUGGUCUUCACCACAGCAGCCAAGCACCUUGCACUGGCCAUCUCACUCCACCUCAGGACCAUGCUGUCCUAAAGGAAAAGGGCUGGCAAUGGGCAGAGCUGGGCUUGGCACCUGGGACUGCACAAUGCCAGACCCUCUACCCUUUCCACGGCACCCACUGUCCCAGCCAAUCUGUCCUCCCCUCCCGCUCAGGUCCCUUGCUCGCCUUUCCCAGCGCUGGGCGCAGGCCUUCAUCACCUUGCACUCCAGCUGCUCCGAAAGCCCUCUCACUUCUUGGCCUGCAAGCUUGUCCCACCUGGUCCCAUUCUGCCCACUGCUGGCCAGGCUGAGCAUACUGAACCAUUCCCCUAAUCAUCAUGAGGCAAAAGUGCAACUCCAGCUCCCUGACUCGCUGGCUGUGGGGCCCAUGCUAGCCUGCCUCUAAGCCUUUGCUCCUAUGAGGGCUACCCUUCUGCCCCCACCGGGAUGCUGUAGGGACUGAGGGCUGCUCCUGAACACUGGGCAGGGAGGGCCCUGUGGCUGUAUGUAGGAGGCUCCAUUCACUGUGAGCUUCCCGUCUGCUGAGGGACCCCCUGCCUGCCCCACCCUGAGGGGAAGGAGAGACAGGCAGAGGAGGGAACAACCUGGGCAGCAAAAGGGUCCUCAGACCCUGGAGGCAGGCUCCCAACUGAGAACAGAGGCCACUUUGCUCAAACUCACAGAAAACAGUAAAAUACCCAGUCCUGACCUUCAACUUCUGAGCUCUAGCACCCUAGGAGGAACAACCUGUAGUUUACUUUCAAGUGUCCCCAGCAGCUGGGCGCGGUGGCUCACGCCUGUAAUCCCAGCACUUUGGGAGGCCAAGGUGGGUGGAUCACCUGAGAUCGGGAGUUCGAGACCAUGCCUGGCUAAUUUUUGUAUUUUUAGUAGAGAUGGGGUUUCACCACGUUGCCCAGGCUGGUCUCGAACUCCUGACGUCAAGUGAUCUGCCCGCCUUGGCCUCCCAAAGUGUUGGAAUUACAGGCGCGAGCCACCGUGCCUGGUCCAUCACCUGCACUUCUAAUACCACAGUUGAGCACAUCUGACCAUGGAGGUAGGCUGCAAAGGGGACCUCCCUUUUACCCAGUCUGAGAAGGUCAGGGAGGCUCUGGGAGAAGGUGAUACCUGGGCUGUGGUUUGCACAAAGCUGUUAUGGGGAUAAGGGACUCACUGAAGCAAGUGCCCAGACACCUGGGGCAGUCAGGGCCUAGCCAAGGAGGUGGAGGGGAUCAGAUGUGGCUGCCCAUAAGGCCAGUGGGGAGCCAGGGUGCUAUGAGGCAGGGAGUAAGUGCUAAGACCAUGGGCUGCAGGGCCCAGAGCAGAGGCAGGCUGCCUAGGGGACUGAGCCUGUGUAUACCCUUGCUCUCCUCUAUGGCCCUGGCCUCAAUGCUGUGGCAGACCACUCCUCCAGCUGUGACUUCAUGACCCAGGGCACAGGCCUGGCCUGAGAAAAGUUACCCAAGAGUCAUGACCCCAGAGCUGCUUCUGGGGCUCCUCCGGAACUUGGAAAAGUGUCCGGAAGACCUCUUUAAGUGGCAGCACUUGAGGCCAGCAGGAGGAGAUGUGAGACCCUGACUUGAAGAAGCAUCUCCAGUAGCCAUCAUUUUCCUAAGAAUACCAAGAAAGUAAAGCCUCGACAAAGACUUCCUUCUGGCUGGGGACACAAGAGAAAGCACAGAGGCCAGGAUGGAGUCACAUAGACUCUGCUUCCCUGCCCAGCUGCCUUGUUGCAGGCCCUGUGGCCAUGGGACGGGAAUGGACAUUCCUCUCUGGUUUGUUUUCCACCACUCCACCUGCACCAAGCCAGUUUGUCCCCCAGAUUGGAGCAGAAAGGGAGAAGGCAGUGGGAGAGGUUUCUGGGGCAAAGGGUGCAGAAAGCACUAGCCUGUCAAACCCAACCUGGAUUAUAAAUUAGCUUCCUGCAGACCUGGC
rnacentral:lncRNA from 1 species